rnacentral:tRNA from 1 species
GAGGAUUUAUUUUAAUUUAAAAUAUUAGAUUGUAAAUCUAAAGAUUGUGUUCUUG